UCAAAGGCCCUUAUCAGGGCCGCCCACACUUUCACCAAAAGAACU
rfam:Anolis carolinensis unplaced genomic scaffold chrTn0087, whole genome shotgun sequence.